UUUUCUUUAUUCAUAAGAAAAGAAAAGGAAUUACUGUUUGAAACUUGUGUGUUUACAAGGCAAGAAAGGAGCUCGAGAUUUUGGAUAAUCACAUACUUGGCGAGCUUGGCUCCUUUCGGAGUGUGGAAGCUGUUGAUGAGCUCAAUCAGCCGAUAAUUAUCAGUCAAACUGAUGAUCAAGGCCGGGACUCCCUAUUGCAGAUCAAACUUCAUAUUUAAAACAAGAGAUUACAAAAAUGCUCCUUCAUGGGAGUAUACCUUCCGAAGAGGGACCACAGAUAACAGGCCUAGGAAGCUGACAAGAAAGAGAAAGCCGAUGAUCCAUGACAAUGAUGGGUUCUUGAAUACAUUUGCAUCUGGACCAGUCGCAAGUGUAUCACUCAUAGCGAAAAGGAAGUUUGAGUUUACCGCUAAAGGCAAUUCCUGAGGAGGCCACGACACAGGUCUGGAUCACAGUGUUUUCCUGCCUGGUAAAGGGCACAGCCACAAACCUACUGAAUAGACUAGUCCAAGUCUUAACGAAGAAGUACC